rnacentral:rRNA from 1 species
CAUCCUCCAAGGCUAAAUACUCCUGACUGACCGAUAGUGAACCAGUACCGUGAGGGAAAGGCGAAAAGAACCCCGGCGAGGGGAGUGAAAAAGAACCUGAAACCGUGUACGUACAAGCAGUGGGAGCACCCUUCGGGGUGUGACUGCGUACCUUUUGUAUAAUGGGUCAGCGACUUAUAUUCUGUAGCAAGGUUAACCGUAUAGGGGAGCCGGAGGGAAACCGAGUCUUAAUUGGGCGUUAAGUUGCAGGGUAUAGACCCGAAACCCGGUGAUCUAGCCAUGGGCAGGUUGAAGGUUGGGUAACACUAACUGGAGGACCGAACCGACUAAUGUUGAAAAAUUAGCGGAUGACCUGUGGCUGGGGGUGAAAGGCCAAUCAAACCGGGAGAUAGCUGGUUCUCCCCGAAAGCUAUUUAGGUAGCGCCUCGUGAAUUCAUCUCCGGGGGUAGAGCACUGUUUCGGCUAGGGGGCCAUCCCGGCUUACCAACCCGAUGCAAACUGCGAAUACCGGAGAAUGUUAUCACGGGAGACACACGGCGGGUGCUAACGUCCGUCGUGAAGAGGGAAACAACCCAGACCGCCAGCUAAGGUCCCAAAGUCAUGGUUAAGUGGGAAACGAUGUGGGAAGGCCCAGACAGCCAGGAUGUUGGCUUAGAAGCAGCCAUCAUUUAAAGAAAGCGUAAUAGCUCACUGGUCGAGUCGGCCUGCGCGGAAGAUGUAACGGGGCUAAACCAUGCACCGAAGCUGCGGCAGCGAACGUAUCACCCAAGACAACUUUACGGAGUUGACGAUUGACGGAGCGAAGCGACGUCAAAGCGUUCAUUAAAGUCGAGUUGGCUUAGGGAUACGUUCGUUGGGUAGGGGAGCGUUCUGUAAGCCUGUGAAGGUGUGUCGUGAGGCAUGCUGGAGGUAUCAGAAGUGCGAAUGCUGACAUAAGUAACGAUAAAGCGGGUGAAAAGCCCGCUCGCCGGAAGACCAAGGGUUCCUGUCCAACGUUAAUCGGGGCAGGGUGAGUCGACCCCUAAGGCGAGGCCGAAAGGCGUAGUCGAUGGGAAACGGGUUAAUAUUCCCGUACUUGGUGUUACUGCGAAGGGGGGACGGAGAAGGCUAUGUUGGCCGGGCGACGGUUGUCCCGGUUUAAGCGUGUAGGUGUGUGUUCCAGGUAAAUCCGGUUCACUUUAACAC